GACGAACGCUGGCGGCGUGCCUAAUACAUGCAAGUAGAACGCUGAAGAGAGGAGCUUGCUCUUCUUGGAUGAGUUGCGAACGGGUGAGUAACGCGUAGGUAACCUGCCUGGUAGCGGGGGAUAAUUAUUGGAAACGAUAGCUAAUACCGCAUAAUAGUAGAUGUUGCAUGACAUUUGCUUAAAAGGUGCAAUUGCAUCACUACCAGAUGGACCUGCGUUGUAUUAGCUAGUUGGUGAGGUAACGGCUCACCAAGGCAACGAUACAUAGCCGACCUGAGAGGGUGAUCGGCCACACUGGGACUGAGACACGGCCCAGACUCCUACGGGAGGCAGCAGUAGGGAAUCUUCGGCAAUGGACGGAAGUCUGACCGAGCAACGCCGCGUGAGUGAAGAAGGUUUUCGGAUCGUAAAGCUCUGUUGUAAGAGAAGAACGAGUGUGAGAGUGGUAAAGUUCACACGGUGACGGUAUCUACCA
rnacentral:rRNA from 1 species